GCAAGUCGAACGGUAAAAUGACAGUGCUUGCCCAGUUGAUGACGAGUGGCUCACGGGUGCGUAACGCGUAUACAAUCUACCUUUUACAGGGGGAUAGCAUUCAGAAAUGAAGAAUAAUACCCCAUAGUAAGUAAUUUUCGCAUGGAAGAUACUGUAAAGAUUCGUCGGUAAAAGAUGAGUAUGCGUUCUAUUAGCUAGAUGGUAAGGUAACGGCUUACCAUGGCAACGAUAGAUAGGGGCCCUGAGAGGGGGAUC
rnacentral:rRNA from 1 species